AUCUUGCAGCCUGCAGAGAGGAGGCCAGCACUUACAUCUGAAUUCAGACAGAUGUUUCUUGCAGACUGUAAAUAUCAAGGAGGACAGAACAGAACUCUAUGGGACACGACAAGCCAUCGCACCAUUCUGCUUCAUACAGUCACACAGCUGAACAUUCUGAAAAUUCCACAAACACACAGAAAAAGAAAGCCCUGAACUUGCCUCAAGUUGUUUGUGAAGACAGAAGAAUGCCCAAACUGCACAGUAAGAGAGUGCUCAUGUAUUAACUACCACACUCCCAUCAUGUGCACCAUACAGACCAUCAGGAAAAGAAGGCUUUGUUUCUGAAAGAAGCAGGUAUUUUUCUUAGAAUUCCCAGCACUAAGAACAAAGAAGUUACCUGCAUAGUCCUCAUAGGUCCCACAAAUGUCCAACUCAGUCAUAUGUAUAGGUGAGAAGUUACACAAGCUGAUUCCCAGUAUGCAUGGAUUACAGGGAUUAAAACAUUUCCACAAACACAUCCAGCUUCUGAAAUCAGCACUUUGUGAAUGUGGUCAGAAUGCAAGCCACAUUGUACAUUAACAUCGGUUGCUUUAACUCCAAUUGAUCUUAAUGGAAUUAUUCUACAGCACUAUAGUUUCUCCCUAGCAUUAUAUCUUAUGUCAUCUUAGUAUAACAAGUGAUAAAAAAUUUGUGU